rnacentral:tRNA from 1 species
ACCUGGGUGGCUUAGUCGGUUAAGCAUCUGACUUCAGCUCAGGUCAUGAUCUCACAGUUGGUGGGUUCGAGCCCCGCGUCGGGCU